AAGUCACAGCCAAACGGCAGUUAUGGCCGCCAUCGUGAGGCCUUUAAUUAGUGACAAGUGAUUUGGAGGGGUGUUUUUCAAGUUCGGUGAUAAGGGAAUUGAAUACGUUUACCUGUGAUCGACGACACAAGCCCUGGCGGGCCUCGACAGUCAAGAGAAACCCGCGCGUCGCCGUAAAACCGACGACGGAGGGAUUGUUUCGGGCACACGGAGCCGUGCGGACGUCCACUGGGAAAAGCCGGGAAUUUAUUAACUUGUAAGUUACAUUCCUAUCAGUCUA